GUGUCAGCAGCCGCGGUAAUUAGAUACCCGCGUAGUCCGGAAUUAUUGGGCGUAAAGGGCUCGCAGGCGGUUCCUUAAGUCUGAUGUGAAAGCCCCCGGCUCAACCGGGGAGGGUCAUUGGAAACUGGGGAACUUGAGUGCAGAAGAGGAGAGUGGAAUUCCACGUGUAGCGGUGAAAUGCGUAGAGAUGUGGAGGAACACCAGUGGCGAAGGCGACUCUCUGGUCUGUAACUGACGCUGAGGAGCGAAAGCGUGGGGAGCGAACAGGAUUAGAAACCCCCGUAGUCC
rnacentral:rRNA from 1 species